rnacentral:rRNA from 1 species
GACGAACGCUGGCGGCGUGCUUAACACAUGCAAGUCGAGCGGAGCGGCGAACGGGUGAGUAACGCGUGAGUAACCUGCCCUCAACUGUGGGAUAAGCCUGGGAAACUGGGUCUAAUACUGCAUAGUUGGGGAUGGGGUCGCGGUCUAUCAGCUUGUUGGUGGGGUGAUGGCCUACCAAGGCGGUGACGGGUAGCCGGCCUGAGAGGGUGGGCGGCCACAGUGGUACUGAGAUACGGCCCAGACUCCUACGGGAGGCAGCAGGGGGGGAUAUUGCACAAUGGGCGCAAGCCUGAUGCAGCGACGCCGCGUGAGGAAUGAAGGCGUGCGGGUUGUAAACCUCUUUCGGUACAGACGGGGUAUGUGCAGAAGAAGCGCCGGCUAACUACGUGCCAGCAGCCGCGGUAAUUC